ACAACAUUUGGCGUGCCGAAGGUUGCCUAUCUCUGUCCUAGACCGAAACAGGUCUCCCCCACAGUUUGCAAUAAAAAGUUUUACUUUUUUCCCCCAGUGCUGAGGUUCCCGCGAUAUAAGGCCUCCUCUGCCAAUGUCCAUUUCAAUGCUCAUAGAAUGAAUACUUUCCUACUGGGCAUCUGUAUCAUGUAACUUAGUUUUACU